rnacentral:rRNA from 1 species
ACGUACGCUGGCGGCACGCCUAAUACAUGCAAGUCGAACGAAGUAGCAAUACUUAGUGGCAGACGGGUGAGUAACAUGUGGGUAUCUUCCCUUUGGUGAGGAAUAACACGAGGAAACUUGUGCUAAUACCUCAUAAGUCUUUACGGAGAAAGCUUUAUGCGCCAUUGGAUGAGCCCGCACUUGAUUAGUUUGUUGGUGGGGUAAUGGCCUACCAAGACUGUGAUCAAUAGCUGAUUUGAGAGGAUGAUCAGCCACAUUGGGACUGAGACACGGCCCAAACUCCUACGGGAGGCAGCAGUAGGGAAUCUUGCACAAUGGAGGAAACUCUGAUGCAGCGAUGCCGCGUGAGUGAAGAAGGCCUUUGGGUUGUAAAGCUCUUUCGUCGGGGAAGAAAAUGACUGUACCCGAAUAAGAAGGUCCGGCUAACUUCGUGCCAGCAGCCGCGGUAAUACGAAGGGACCUAGCGUAGUUCGGAAUUACUGGGCUUAAAGAGUUCGUAGGUGGUUAAAAUAGUUGGUGGUGAAAUCCCAGAGCUUAACUCUGGAACUGCCAUCAAAACUUUUUAGCUAGAGUAUGAUAGAGGAAAGCAGAAUUUCUAGUGUAGAGGUGAAAUUCGUAGAUAUUAGAAAGAAUACCGAUUGCGAAGGCAGCUUUCUGGAUCAUUACUGACACUGAGGAACGAAAGCAUGGGUAGCGAAGAGGAUUAGAUACCCUCGUAGUCCAUGCCGUAAACGAUGUGUGUUAGACGUUGGAAAUUUAUUUUCAGUGUCGCAGCGAAAGCGAUAAACACACCGCCUGGGGAGUACGACCGCAAGGUUAAAACUCAAAUGAAUUGACGGGGACCCGCACAAGUAGUGGAGCAUGUGGUUUAAUUCGAAGAUACGCGCAGAACCUUACCAACACUUGACAUGUUCGUCGCGACUCUAAGAGAUUAGAGUUUUCGGUUCGGCCGGACGAAACACAGGUGCUGCAUGGCUGUCGUCAGCUCGUGUCGUGAGAUGUUGGGUUAAGUCCCGCAACGAGCGCAACCCUCACUUUUAGUUGCCAUCAUUAAGUUGGGCACUCUGAAAGAACUGCCAGUGAUAAGCUGGAGGAAGGUGGGGAUGACGUCAAGUCCUCAUGGCCCUUACGUGUUGGGCUACACACGUGCUACAAUGGCAUCUACAACAGGAAGCAAAACGGCAACGUUAAGCAAAUCCCGAAAAGAUGCCUCAGUUCGGAUUGCACUCUGCAACUCGAGUGCAUGAAGCUGGAAUUACUAGUAAUCGCGGAUCAGCGCGCCGCGGUGAAUACGUUCCCGGGUCUUGUACACACCGCCCGUCACACCAUGGGAGUUGGUUCUACCUUAAGGCAAAGUUUAAAACCUUUGACCACGGUAUAGUCAGCGACUGGGGUG